UUUAGGGAGACCUACACCCCUCAGAAAUCGAAAAACACACAGUUAUAUAGAUACUGAGUUGGUCACGCCCUAGGUCGUUCGAGUAUUGGUAUAAAGCUUUCAAAGUAUUAAUGGUUCAGAAUAUUAAACAAAAAACUUGAUAAAUCAGCACCAUGACAAAAUUUGUCAGACUGCUGAGUUUUAUCUCAGCCAGAACCUUGAAAACUGCAUAGUAACGCGAAAUUAGCAGGCAGACACAGACAUUCUGUAUUGAAUUGUAUUGUGAAUGCAAUCAUGUGAAACACCAAAAAUUUGAGU
rnacentral:misc_RNA from 1 species